UACGUAGGGCGCAAGCGUUGUCCGGAAUUAUUGGGCGUAAAGAGCUCGUAGGCGGCCUGUUGCGUCCGCUGUGAAAUCCCGGGGCUCAACUCCGGGCCUGCAGUCGAUACGGGCAGACUGGAGUUCGGCAGGGGAGACUGGAAUUCCUGGUGUAGCGGUGAAAUGCGCAGAUAUCAGGAGGAACACCGGUGGCGAAGGCGGGUCUCUGGGCCGAUACUGACGCUGAGGAGCGAAAGCGUGGGGAGCGAACAGG
rnacentral:rRNA from 1 species